AAGAUGUGCCGUACUCUUGAGGACCAGCUGAGUGAGAUCAAGACUAAGAAUGAUGAGAAUGUUCGCCAGGUCAACGACAUCAGUGGACAGAGGGCCAGACUCCUGACAGAAAAUGGUGAGUUUAGUCGCCAGCUGGAGGAGAAGGAAGCCCUGGUGUCUCAGCUGACCAGAGGCAAACAGGCCUUCACUCAGCAGGUGGAGGAGCUGA